GCCUACGGGUGGCAGCAGUGGGGAAUAUUGGACAAUGGGCGAAAGCCUGAUCCAGCAAUGCCGCGUGUGUGAAGAAGGUCUUCGGAUUGUAAAGCACUUUCGACGAGGACGAUGAUGACGGUACCCGUAGAAGAAGCCCCGGCUAACUUCGUGCCAGCAGCCGCGGUAAUACGAAGGGGGCUAGCGUUGCUCGGAAUGACUGGGCGUAAAGGGUGCGUAGGCGGUUUAUGCAGUCAGAUGUGAAAUCCCCGGGCUUAACCUGGGAACUGCAUUUGAGACGCAUAGACUAGAGGUCGAGAGAGGGUUGUGGAAUUCCCAGUGUAGAGGUGAAAUUCGUAGAUAUUGGGAAGAACACCGGUGGCGAAGGCGGCAACCUGGCUCGAUACUGACGCUGAGGCGCGAAAGCGUGGGGAGCAAACAGGAUUAGAUACCCCGGUAGUC
rnacentral:rRNA from 1 species